rnacentral:rRNA from 1 species
CAGUAGCCGCGGGAAUACAGAGGGUGCAAGCGUUAAUCGGAAUUACUGGGCGUAAAGCGCGCGUAGGUGGUUCGCCAAGUUGGAUGUGAAAUCCCCGGGCUCAACCUGGGAACUGCAUCCAAAACUGGCGAGCUAGAGUAUGGUAGAGGGUGGUGGAAUUUCCUGUGUAGCGGUGAAAUGCGUAGAUAUAGGAAGGAACAUCAGUGGCGAAGGCGACCACCUGGACUGAUACUGACACUGAGGUGCGAAAGCGUGGGGAGCAAACAGGAUUAGAUACCCCCGUAGUCCCUGUCUCUUAUAC